rnacentral:lncRNA from 1 species
GCUCUGGGAGCACAAACAAAGGAGUACCUCCUGGAUAAGGCUUUGGCAAGCAGCCUCCCAUCCCUAACUCCUGCCUGCUCCCAGCUGCAGCUCCCAUGAUAGGUAGCCCCCUCCUCAUCCUCCCCCUCCUCCAAGACCCAGCCUACAGCACAGCUUCUUCUUGGCCAUAGAAAGCCAGGCCAGCCUCUCCCCCAGCCCCCGACCCCUCCACUGUACCAGCACGCAGGCUGUUUGGAGAGGUGACAAAAAAUUAAAAUUAAAGCUAAAUUAAAAAGAAGAUUCCCAUUUCCUCUCCCCAUCGCACUUUCCACCUUAAUUUUAUCGCAUCUUCCUUCUCGUUUUAUUGACUUUUAGAAGCAUUGCCACAAGAUUUAGUGUGGAGCAGGAGGGAAGCGACGCCGCGUGCUUGUAAUUUUCUUCUGACCCUAAUGGCUCCGGUUUCCCCUCAGUAUUUAAGCGGAACAAGACAGAGGUGUUUAGAAAUAGAACCAUCCAGUACGCUUGUGAGUGCCUGCGGUUGGUGGGGUGUCAAAUAACUUCGAGAUGCUAAAAAAGAUCCUUGGAAUCUGGAGAGCUGGAC